AUGGUUGCUAAUGUAUCACUGUGGGAGACUUUUGGUGGAGGCUCCAAACUCAUCAUCAACACGGGUCCCACAGCUCCCUCUGUGUCUCUGCUCCCUCCGUCCCCUCUGCAGCUGUCUGAGGGAUCGGCCUCGCUGCUCUGCCUGCUGUCUGGCUACUCUCCACAGGGGGCGCUGGUGAGCUGGACAGUGGACGGCUCAGAGGUGAAGAACGGGGUUCUGACCAGCGCAGAAGAAGAGAAGAACAGCCGUUACAGCCGCAGCAGCACCCUGACCCUCAGCAAAGACCUCUGGGAAAAGGGGGAGGAGUUCAGCUGUAAGGUCUCCCAUAACAACGUCAAUCAUCCAGUCACGUUCAGAAAGAGUCAGUGUGAAGACUAGUGGAUCCAAGAUAGAGUUUAACAUAGA